GUCUACGGCCAUGCCACCCUGAACAAGCCCGAUGUCUGAUCUCAGAAGAUAAGCAGGGUCGGGCCUGGUUAGUACUUGGAUGAGAGACCACCUAGGAAGACCAGGUGCUGUAGGCA
rnacentral:rRNA from 1 species